rnacentral:tRNA from 7 species
GCUACGGACUUAAAAAAUCCGUCGACUUUAGAAAUCAUGAGGGUUCAAGUCCCUCUAUCCCCA